GCCAUCACUCCCCUCGAUGGUUCCCGAUGGUCAGCCCAAGGGAUGAAAAGGGAAUAUGGUGCGGCCGCCUUGUGCAGCUCAUUCCAUAACUGCCCCCGCAACUGUAAACGGUGAGCUAAGCCAAGCAACCACUGGCCCAAAGGGUCGGGAAGGAUGGCCAUGCAAUGACCCGCAAGUCAGGAGACCUGCCAUCAUAUGUUUAACCAA
rnacentral:ncRNA from 2 species